AGCAAGCCAAGUAAAAUAAGGCUGGAGAGACAUUUUGUUUGUGUUUAAUGGGACACAGAGCCAGGAGGAGGGAGAUAAAGAGGUGGCAUGGGAACGCUUACUACUGGGAAGCCCAAACCCCCACUGCUGGCAGGAACCCGAGCCUCUCCUGCUGGUAUGUGGUAUACUUCAUGUCUCAUUUGUGACUGCAGACACUAGCCACACAGGUGUGGGAACAGUAGCCCAGGCAGAAACUGCCACCCUCUGUGGGAGUCCUGUCGGCUUUACCUUUCCUCAGCACUGGAGGCUCCAGGAGCAAAGAGCUGCUGAGCUUGAGAUGGAGAAGACUAGGAGCCUGACUAGUGCAGUGCUUUACAAAAAACCAAAGCAACAAACGAAGGAACCCACGUGUGGUGGGCUUGGCAACCGCAGCUCUGUCUGGUCAAAGAGUCAGGAAUGGAUCAGAAGGUAGCAGAUACAAUUGGUAAGUAUUGAUCUGAAUCCCGGUGUUUGUAAAGCAACACAAGUCUAUAGUUACCCCACAAAGCACAAACGCCAUGCAUAUCUCUACUCUUCCUCUAGGAAACACAUCUCAAACUUUAAGGAGUCAGAGAGUUAGUAGCAAAAAGUUGGGGAAAGGAGUAAGUGCUACAGAGCUGUGUCAAGCCAGUAGUGGGAGGACUGUCGCUGGCUCCCCCAUUCAGCAGCAUCUUCUUGGCACUUCAUCCCCAAGUGCCAAGGCACUUGAUGUGGCAGCAAGUGCACAGUCUCUUCACCAUGGAGCUGGCACUUAGAGAUGAUAUUUGACACAAAUAAGUGGAUAGUGCUGGGAAAGGCACCACACACAUCAGCCACCCAAAGGCAACGGUGUGGAGUUAGGCGGCUGUGUGCCUGGGAAGGAGCAGCCAACUGGGGGAAGAGUAAGAACCAGAACCUGCCAGCAGGGACUGCUCCCCUGGUCCUGUGAAACUAGAGGGAGAGAAGCCACCCGGGGAACGAAAGGGUAAGUAGAUACAGGUCAUGGUUAUGAUGGGGUCAGUUCAACACAGGCCCGGAAGCCUGUGGGACAGACCUGAGGAGCAGCAUGAAGUAAGUCAGGUUGCUGAUAGGGAGACUGUCGGGGACAAGGGUAAGAAGAAGCCAGGUUUGGGACCUGCCUUGAAGGUAGAGCAAGCAAGAUCCUCUUGGUGCCUUGGGUCUUGGAUUCGCAUACACAUAGGAGUGGUAAGGACAAUCCCAAAGACAGUGGCCUGAUAGACUGAAGCAAUUGGCAUCUGAGACAAGGAAGAUGUCGUCAGCAAACAGUAGUUUGCCAGGGCAAUUCAAAACUUGCCUUGUACAUUCCAAGUCUGGUAGUCGGUGAGAUGCUUGAUUGAAUAUGUUGACCAGACAGUCAUACACAGGAGUCUGGAGUCCAGAGAAGACUUGGUGACAGGUGUAAAUUAAGAGAUUCAUCAGCUUAUCAACAAACAUGGAGAAGGGGGAUGCACACCCAGAGAAGAGAGACUGAGAACUGCAUUAUUCCAUGUUAAAUAAGAGGAUUGGCAUUUUAAAAGCUAAGAUUCAUUGAGCAUGGCCAGAUGUCAGACAAUGAAUAGGCAGACAUGAAGAAAAUACCAGUCAAGGCCUCCGCUGUACAGGGCUACCAGCACUAACACCCAGCACCCAUCUGCAGACAGUUGAAGCAAUCCCUGUCUCCUUUGCUCAUAAUGUGGCCAGCAAUAAACCUGCUACAGCACUAGCGUGUCCCUGCUCUCAGAGAACAGCACCGCCUAUCUUGCCACUGAUUGCUUCACAAUCUGGGCUUGGCAAGGAACAGAACAAUGCCCAUGGGAACACAAGGUGUGGGCGGCUGGGGGUGAGUCCUCAAGCAUCCAGCCCAAGCUAAGCACCUGGGUUCUUCCUGUGUCCACGUGCCUGCUGGACUUGGACAUUGCCCUGACUGAGCCAGUCGGCAAACCUGCUGGAGCUGGCUCUGCCUGACACAGCCCCUGCUCUCCAAGCUCGCUAGACUAGAAGCACAGCCAAUAGGAUGCAGAGAAGUGUCAGUCAGUCCUCGGCUUUGACUGAUAAUCAAACUCCAUCCAGAUAUCUUGUUCCUGCCUUAAGAAGGAAAAUGCCUUCCUGGAAUUACAGAUUACAAAUGAAGCUCUUAGACUUGCUUCUUGCACUUAGCCUGAAAAAAAAAAAAAAAAAAAAAAAAAAAAAAAAGCCUAGCAGUGGUGGUGAAUGCCUUUAAUCCCAACAUUUGGGAGACAGAGGCAGGUGGAUCUUGGAGUUUGAGGCUAGCCUGGUCUACGGAGCAAGUUCCAAGACAGCCAGAGAUACACAGAGAAACCUUAGAAACCUUGCCUCUAAAAAAUAAACAAAAAACAAAAAGGGAGAAAGAGGUGAUAACAGUCCCAUGCCCACUGUGGGGUGCUCAGGGUGCCAUUUCUAUUCACCUCCUUGGAUCCUCAUGCAAUCUGACUUAGUCUGAGAAAGGGCCCUGGGGAAAUGGUUGUGUGGGAUCCUAUUCAGUACUCGGCUUUCAUGAUUAUAUAGCUUAAGAACAGACAUGAUGGGAAGAUAACCCAAACAAAAGGACUCAUGUGUCUGACCUGAGCUUGACGUUAGCACUUGACAUGGCCCUGCUGGUCAAGUGUGCCGGUGAGUGGCACAGAACCAUGCUGGCCUUUCUCUUGUGUCCAGUCCCUCUCAGACCCUGAAUAAAGUUUUCAGAUGAUUGUCUGGA